rnacentral:tRNA from 1 species
UCCUCGAUAGCUCAAUGUCAGAGCAUUCGGCUGUUAACCGAAGGGAUGUUGGUUCGAGCCCAACUCGGGGAG